CUUUCCAGAUGCUUAUUUUGUGUCAUUUUAAAGAGGCAAUCUACUAGUACUGUACCUUUCAUUUGUAUCCAAACCCUAUGUUAGUUUAGAUGGCCAGAGCUGAAUAAGUAUACUUAUUAUCAGACUGUGAGAAGCUUGUUACAAGAGUAACAAGCUGUAACUAAUGCCUUGACACUUUACCAGGGUAGCGAACCGUGUUUUAUCACACCGGCUCAUAAUAGUAAAAUUGUUCAUUGCUGUUGAACUGGUACAUGAGAGAAUCCUGCAGUAAAAAAUGUUUACUUUCAUCAAACAGUAAAAAGGGGAGGGAGGUAACUGAAGGUUUUCAGAAGUCUUUAUUCACUGUCUGCCUACAUAUGAAUCAGCAGUAGCCCUUUUUGGCCAUGCUGGCAGAGUUCGAACUCGGAUUACAGAGGUACAUAAAGAAGAGAUAUAGAAGAAAAGUUGGAGAAUUUUUAUCGAUGGAAGUGUUGUGGGCCUGUACAGAUCUCCCUAAAUUCUCCUAUUGUGUGCUACCCUGUGGGCAAGCUGUGUUCAUCACUGUCAGUGGUGGCCAGGACUGAAAGGAAAAGAGAAAUUAUAUGCAUUUCUCUUUCUUGUCAAUUUCUUUCUUAUUAAGCCACCUAAUGUGCUAAAGGGCAAAA